GGAGGUAGUGACAAUAAAUCACAAUGCGGAACUUUUAGUUUUGCAAUUGGAUUGAGAACAAUGUACAAAUGUUAUCGAUAAACAAUUGGAGGGCAAGUCUGGUGCCAGCAGCCGCGGUAAUUCCAGCUCCAAUAGCGUAUAUUAACGUUGUUGCAGUUAAAAAGCUCGUAGUUGAAAUGUGGGAUGAAGUAUAUAAUGAAUUUCUAAUUCAAUUGUAUAUUGAUUCCCCUCUCCAAUUUAUUAUUAUGGGUAUUAAUUUAUUUGUAAUAAGAAUUGGUCAUUUACUGUGAGAGAAUUAGAGUGUUCAAAGCAGGCAUUUGCUUGAAUAGAUUAGCAUGGAAUAAUACUAAAAGGCUUUUAUGGUCGAUUUAAUUGGUUUGUUCAUAAAAGCAAGAUUAAAAGGAACAGUUGGGGGUAUUCAUAUUCAAUAGUUAGAGGUGAAAUUCUCGGAUUUAUGGAAGAUGAACAAGUGCGAAAGCA
rnacentral:rRNA from 1 species